rnacentral:rRNA from 1 species
NACGAUGGUAGCUUGCUACCAGGCGUCGAGCGGCGGACGGGUGAGUAACGCGUGAGAAUCUGCCCAUUUGUGGGGGAUAACUCGGGGAAACUCGAGCUAAUACCGCAUAAUCCCUACGGGGGAAAGCAGGGGACCUUCGGGCCUUGUGCAGAUGGAUGAGCUCGCGUCGGAUUAGCUUGUUGGUGAGGUAAAGGCUCACCAAGGCGACGAUCCGUAGCUGGUCUGAGAGGAUGAUCAGCCACACCGGGACUGAGACACGGCCCGGACUCCUACGGGAGGCAGCAGUGGGGAAUCUUGGACAAUGGGGGCAACCCUGAUCCAGCCAUGCCGCGUGUGUGAAGAAGGCCUUCGGGUUGUAAAGCACUUUCAGUAGGGAGGAAGGCUUACCGCUAAUAACGGUGAGUACUUGACGUUACCUACAGAAGAAGCACCGGCUAAUUUCGUGCCAGCAGCCGCGGUAAUACGAAAGGUGCGAGCGUUAAUCGGAAUUACUGGGCGUAAAGCGCGCGUAGGCGGUUUGUUAAGUCAGAUG